rnacentral:rRNA from 1 species
ACGGGUGAGUAAUGUCUGGGGAUCUGCCCGAUGGAGGGGGAUAACUACUGGAAACGGUAGCUAAUACCGCAUAACGUCGCAAGACCAAAGUGGGGGACCUUCGGGCCUCACACCAUCGGAUGAACCCAGAUGGGAUUAGCUAGUAGGUGGGGUAACGGCUCACCUAGGCGACGAUCCCUAGCUGGUCUGAGAGGAUGACCAGCCACACUGGAACUGAGACACGGUCCAGACUCCUACGGGAGGCAGCAGUGGGGAAUAUUGCACAAUGGGCGCAAGCCUGAUGCAGCCAUGCCGCGUGUAUGAAGAAGGCCUUCGGGUUGUAAAGUACUUUCAGCGGGGAGGAAGGGAUGAGGGUUAAUAACCCUCGUCAUUGACGUUACCCGCAGAAGAAGCACCGGCUAACUCCGUGCCAGCAGCCGCGGUAAUACGGAGGGUGCAAGCGUUAAUCGGAAUUACUGGGCGUAAAGCGCACGCAGGCGGUUUGUUAAGUCAGAUGUGAAAUCCCCGGGCUCAACCUGGGAACUGCAUUUGAAACUGGCAAGCUUGAGUCUCGUAGAGGGGGGUAGAAUUCCAGGUGUA